UACGUAGGGGGGCGAGCGUUGUCCGGAUUCAUUUGGGCGUAAAGCGCUUUUAAGGCGGUUCGGUAAGUUCGGGUGGUGAAACCUCCAGGCUCACCUGGAGACGCCACUCGAUACUGCUGUGACUAGAGUUCGGUAGGGGAGUCACGGAAUUCCUGGUGUAGCGGUGAAAUGCGCAGAUAUCAGGAGGAACGACCGGUGGCGAAGGCGGGUCUCUGGGCCGGAUACUGACGCUGAGGAGCGAAAGCGUGGGGAGCGAACAGGAUUAGAACCUACGUAGUCAGUCCAAGCCAGUCUGUCUACCGACGAUAC
rnacentral:rRNA from 1 species